CACCUUCUAAACACUAAUUCACUAUUAAAGUCACCAAAAGUUAAGCAUUUUCAACAAAUAAAGUCACCAACAACAUCACCUUCUAAACACUAAUUCACUAUUAAAGUCAUCAAAACUUAAGUUUUUUCAACUAAAAAGGCACCAACCAAACGAAUUCACUUUAAAAGUCACCAAAAGUUAAACAUUUUCAACAAAUAAAGUCACCAACAACAUCCCCUCCUAAACACUAAUUCACUAUUAAAGUCACCGGCACUUAAGCAUUUUCAACAAAUAAAGUCACCAACAACAUCCCCUCCUAAACACUAAUUCACUAUUAAAGUCACCGGCACUUAAGCAUUUUCAACAAAUAAAGUAACUAACAACAUCACCUUCCAAACAAAAAUUCACUGUUAAAGUCACCAGCACUUAAACAUUAUCAACAAAUAAAGUCACCAACAACAUCACCUCCUAUACACUAAUUCACUAUUAAAGUCACCAAAACUUAAGCUUUUUCAACUAACAAAGGCACCAACAAAACUAAUUCACUAUUAUAGUCACCAGCACUUGAGAAUUUUCAACAAAUAAAGUCACCAACAACAUCACCUUCUAAACACUAAUUCACUAUUAAAGUCACCGACAUUUAAGCAUUUUCAACAAAUAAAGUAACUAACAACAUCACCUUCUAAAUAAAAGUUCACUUUUAAAGUCAAAGACACUUAAAUAUUUUCAACAAUAAAGUAACCAACAACAUUACCUUCCAAACAAAAGUUCACUUUUAAAGUCAUCGGCACUUAAGCAUUUUCAACAAAUAGAGUAACCAACAACAUCACCCCCUAAACACUAAUUCAUUAUUAAAGUCACCAAAAUUUAAGCAUUUUUAACAAAUAAAGUAACCAACAACAUCACCUUCUAAACACUAAUUCACUAUUAAAGUCACAAAAACUUAAGCUUUUUCAACUAACAAAGGCACCAACAAAACUAAUUCACUAUUAAAGUCACCGGCACUUAAGCAUUUUCAAUAAACAAAGUAACCAACAACAUCAUCUUCUAAACAAAAGUUCACUAUUAAAGUCACCAGCACUUAAGCAUUUUUAACAAAUAAAGUAACCAACAACAUCACCUUCCAAACAAAAGUUCACUAUUAAAGUCACCGGCACUUAAGCAUUAUCAACAAAUAAAGUCACCAACAACAUCACCUCCUAAACACUAGUUCACUAUUAAAGUCACCAAAACUUAAGCUUUUUCAACUAACAAAGGCACUAAUGAAACUAAUUCACUAUUAAAGUCACCAAAAGUUAAGCAUUUUCAAUAAAUAAAGUCACCAACAAUAUCACCUUUUAAACACUAAUUUACUAUUAAAGUCACCAAAAGUUAAGCAUUUUCUACAAAUAAAGUCACCAACAACAUCACCUUCUAAACACUAAUUCAUUAUUAAUGUCACCAAAACUUAAGCUUUUUCAAUUAACAAAGGCACCAACGAAACUAAUUCACUUUUAAUGUCACCAAAACUUAAGCAUUUUCAACAAAUAAACUCACCAACAACAUCACUUUCUAAACACUAAUUCACUAUUAAAGUGACCGGCACUUAAGCAUUUUCAACAAAUAAAGUAACCAACAACAUCACCUUUUAAACAAAAGUUCACUUUUAAAGUCACCGGCGCUUAAGCAUUUUCAACAAAUAAAGUAACCAACAACAUCACCUUCCAAACAAAAGUCUACUAUUAAAGUCUCCGGCAGUUAAAUAUUUUCAACAAAUAAAGUAACCAAUAACAUCACCUUCUAAAUAAAAGUUCACUUUUAAAGUCACCAGCACUUAAGCAUUUUCAACAAAUAAAGUAACCAAUAACAUCACCUUCUAAAUAAAAGUUCACUUUUAAAGUCACCAGCACUUAAGCAUUUUCAACAAAUAAAGUCACCAACAACAUCACCUCCUAAACACUAGUUCACUAUUAAAGUUACCAAAGCUUAAACUUUUUCUACUAACAAAGGUACUAACGAAACUAAUUCACUAUUAAAGUCCCCGCACGUUAAGCAUUUUCAACAAAUAAAGUCACCAACAACAUCACCUUCUAAACACUAAUUCACUAUUAAAGUCACCGGCGCUUAAGCAUUUUCAACAAAUAAAGUAACCAACAACAUCACCUUCUAAACACAAGUUCACUUUUAAAGUCACUGACACUUAAUCAUUUUCAACAAAUAAAGUAACCAACAACAUCACCUUCCAAACAAAAUUUCACUAUUAAAGUCACCGGCACUUAAGCAUUUUCAACAAAUAAAGCCACCAACUAAACCAUUUUCAAUCAACUAAGUAUCAAAACAGAAACAAAUUCAAAAUAAAAAAAAUACCUUUCAAAGUCUCUAGACUUAACCAUUUUCGAGCAAGUAAGUGACCUAACAAAUCACAUUCAAAACAAAAAAAAUCUUCUUCAAAGUCCCUACACUUAACCAUUUUGAAGUUAUUAAGUCAUCAAAUAAGUCAUAUUCAAAACAUAAAAUCCCCUUCAAAAUUCUUACUCUUAACCACUUUCAACCUACCGUGUCACCCUUAAAGUCUCUACACUUAUUCAUUUUCAAC
rnacentral:lncRNA from 1 species